AUGACCCUUGCAUUAAAAAGAACAAAACCAAACCAAACCAUAAUCUUAAAUGUAAAUGGAGUAUUGCCUGCUUUAGGAAAGCCGCUGCAGGACCGUGGAGGUCUUGCGUUCCGUCCCGUCCCCGAGCCCGGUGCCCCGCGCUCCUGCCGCGGCCGAGCUGCUCCCGCCGCCAGCCCAGCUGGAUCCGGCCCCCGCAGCCGGCAGCGGCCGGCGUGGGAAGGGGGUUUCCGUGGCGGCCGGACGCUCCCGCUGACGGCAGCUCCCGCGUGCGCUGGCUGGCGAGGCGAGGCGAGGCGAGGCGCGGCCGGGCGGCCUCCCGGCCCCGGCGGGAAGGAGACCCGACAGCGGCAGCGGUCACGCGGGCAGCUCGCCGGCGACGGGGGCGCAGCACGUCUGGGGCUGCCGGGAUGGACCCCGCACGGGCAGUGCCUCGGGGAGCGCCUCCCCGGCCGGGCUGCUCCUCCCGGCAGCGCGGCCCUCCCGCCGCGGCAGCCGGCUCCGGGCCGGCGGGAUGCCCUCUGGGCGCUCGUAUCCCGCCUCCGAGCCCGGGCGGCCACGCGGGUCGCGGGAGUAAUCCUGCGAGAAGCAACCCCCACGGGGGCGUUCUUAAUUUGGGCGAGGUCUGCGGUCGGGGCGGCCGCCCGGGGCACGCGAGCGGGAGCGCGGGGCCUGGUGCCCACGGCGGCCAUGGCCUCGUGGCCCUGCUGCGGCAGCCGGGCCCGGGCGGCCCCUCGCCCCGCCGGGCUCCGGGCCUGGCUCGCGCUGCGCCCGCGCCUCCCCUGCGCCUCCCCCGCGAAACCGAGAGCCUUUAGCAGCGGCCGAGGGGCACGCGCGGAUCCUGCGGCGAGGGAAGGGGGCGUUAUGCGGUGCCCGCGGGAUGAAAAGUGUAAUUGUAGCUCAGCUAUCUGCUGUGCGCCUACUUUGGGCAAGAAGUGCCUAGACGUGAGCAAGUGCUGGCUCCCUCCCCUGGGACAACAGGGCUGGAUUGCCUCCCAGCAAGGAAGGGUUUUCCCUUAUUUACUGCCUUAA
rnacentral:lncRNA from 1 species